GAGGAAUAUUGGGCAAUGCCCGCAAGGGUGACCCAGCAACGCCGCGUGGAGGAUGAAUGUCGUAAGAUUGUAAACUCCUGUUAGAGGGGAAGAAUAGUACCGGUUGGACCGGUAUAUGACUGUACCCUCAGAGAAAGCCCCGGCUAACUACGUGCCAGCAGCCGCGGUAAUACGUAGGGGGCAAGCGUUGUCCGGAUUUACUGGGUGUAAAGGGCGCGCAGGCGGGAUAAAAAGUCAGUGGUGAAAUCCUACAGCUUAACUGUAGAAAUGCCUUUGAUACUUUCAUUCUUGAGUUCGGGAGAGAGAGACGGAAUUCCAGGUGUAGUGGUGAAAUACGUAGAUAUCUGGAAGAACACCAGUUGCGAAGGCGGUCUCUUGGUCCGAUACUGACGCUGAGGCGCGAAAGCGUGGGGAGCAAAC
rnacentral:rRNA from 1 species